rnacentral:lncRNA from 1 species
GUUUUGCAUUGACUUUGUAAGUUUCAUAACUUCUAUUUAUAUAAGUUGAUAUUGCAUCAUUAUUUGCACUUUGUCAAAUGGGGUCAUCUGAUAUAUCAAAUUGAAGGUCUUAAUAAACUCUACUUAAAAAUGAAAAUUUUUAAACCCCCUUUUCAUCCCAGGGGGACGGGUGGGGUCAUUUAGUGCAAACAUUCAAAUUUCUCAGAUGGUAAGGUUGUCGCAUAUCAAAUGAAAGAACAUAAAGCGUACAUUUCAAAUUUCAAAUUGACGUCUCCCAAAAAUGGGUUGGAUGGGGUCAUUGAGUGCAAAAAAUAAAUUUCUUUUAAGGUAGGGUUGUUGUAUAUCAAAUGAAAGGUCAUGAUGUGUACAUUUGAAAUAUCAAAUUCCCGACCUCCAAAAAAUUGUUGGAUAGGGUUAUUAAGUGCAAAAAUCAAACUUUCAAGAACAUGGUGUUGUCGCAUAUCAAACGAAAGCUCAUCUACUCUGUUCCAUAUAUCAUAAUUCCGAUCUCAAAAAUGUAGACGGAUGAGGUCAUUAAGUGUAAAAAGCGAAAAGUUUCAGAAGGUGUGCUUGUCGUAUAUCAAACGAAAGGUCGUACAAAGUACAAUACGAAAACAUCACUUUUACAGGAAAGACCUUUCAAUUGUUUUACAAACAAUUGAGAUACUAGUUUUUUUUUUUUUUUUUUUUUUUUUUUUUUUUUCAUCCAGCAUUUGUUUAACAUGGCCUCCCCUUGUUUCUAUUGGAGUUAUCAAGACCAAAUAUGGACCAUCGGUAGACCUCAUCAUGAAGUAUUACCAGAUGAGGCUGUGUAGGAUUUCAUCAUCCCCUUUAGAAGUUAUCUCCCUUUUAUUGGUUUUUUUCGACAUGGCCCCCCUCGUUGUUUUUGAAGAUAUCAUGACCUUAUUUGGACAAAAGUUAGAUCUCAUCAUGAUGUGUUACCAUAUGAGGCUGCUAAGGAUUUCAUCAUUCCCUAUGAGAGUUAUGUCCCCUUGAAGCAAUUUCUUUCUUUUACAUUUUUCUCAAAAAGUAUUCAAGAUAGAAUCGAUUUGAAAACGGCAACAUGUACAGGACCAGAUGGCAAUGUUAAUUAACAUAUACAAUCAUUUUGUUGUUAACCCUUAUAAGGAGUUAUUUCCCUUGAAAAAAUAUAAACAAUUUUUGAAAAAUUGUAUCUCGAGAACCGGAAGUCGUAAAGACUUGGGACCUACACCAAUAAUCUUAAGUUCAUGUGACCUUUAAUUUGCACCCAAGGUCAAAGGUCACCGAGUGCAAAAAAAAAUUACGCUGCAAUUUCAAGCUUUCAUAUUAAGAAAACGAUAAGAGUUUGCUGCAUACUUACAGCGUAUAAAAUGUUCCUCUCGACGAGCUCUACAUUUUAUACACUGACCUCAAAAGAGUCCGACUGUCUGUUCAAAAGUUACGACGGGAUGAUUCUUAAAAGUAUAGUAUUGUGUGUAUAUCUUUUUAAAGGUAACAGAUAUCAACCUACUAUAAACUGCAAAGAUGAUCAGUAGUUCAAGACCUUCAAUUUGAGGUCAAUGUCAGGUCAUGAUGAAAUUUCACCUUGACCUUCACAUAUUUUACUAUGACCUUGACCUUGUAAUAUUUGAAAGGUCAAGUGGUCCUGAGUUGAAUGGUGAUAGUCCCAUGUCUCUACGACUUCCGGUUCUCAAGUUUUGUAUUGCAUCAUAUAUUUGAUGAUUAAUUGUGACCUUGGUGAACUUUGAAAUUGUCCCAAUUCUUUUUCUAUAAUGUUGUCCUUCAACUGUAGAUCAUUUAUCAUUUAACAGAUUUGAGAUAUCUAUUGUCGUUUUAGAGAUAAUGCAGUUUGAAGUUUUUCGAGCGGAGGCAUGUAUUUCUGAAUCAUCAAGAGCUUACCACUUAAAAUGUUUUAGAAAUUGAAGAGGUUGACAUAGUUAUAUGUUUGACCAAAUACCAAAAACAUUCCAUGGAAAAAAACACCAAAAAAUCAAUUUGAAAUUUUCAAGUUUUGCAUUGACUUUGUAAGUUUCAUAACUUCUAUUUAUAUAAGUUGAUAUUGCAUCAUUAUUUGCACUUUGUCAAAUGGGGUCAUCUGAUAUAUCAAAUUGAAGGUCUUAAUAAACUCUACUUAAAAAUGAAAAUUUUAAACCCCCUUUUCAUCCCAGGGGGACGGGUGGGGUCAUUUAGUGCAAACAUUCAAAUUUCUCAGAUGGUAAGGUUGUCGCAUAUCAAAUGAAAGAACAUAAAGCGUACAUUUCAAAUUUCAAAUUGACGUCUCCCAAAAAUGGGUUGGAUGGGGUCAUUGAGUGCAAAAAAUAAAUGUUCUUUUAAGGUAGGGUUGUUGUAUAUCAAAUGAAAGGUCAUGAUGUGUACAUUUGAAAUAUCAAAUUCCCGACCUCCAAAAAUUUGUUGGAUAGGGUUAUUAAGUGCAAAAAUCAAACUUUCAAGAACAUGGUGUUGUCGCAUAUCAAACGAAAGCUCAUCUACUCUGUUCCAUAUAUCAUAAUUCCGAUCUCAAAAAUGUAGGACGGAUGAGGUCAUUAAGUGUAAAAAGCGAAAAGUUUCAGAAGGUGUGCUUGUCGUAUAUCAAACGAAAGGUCGUACAAAGUACAAUACGAAAACAUCACUUUUACAGGAAAGACCUUUCAAUUGUUUUACAAACAAUUGAGAUACUAGUUUUUCUUUUUUUUUUUUUUUUUUUUUUUCAUCCAGCAUUUGUUGACAUGGCCUCCCCGUUUCUAUUGGAGUUAUCAAGACCAAAUAUGGACCAUCGGUAGACCUCAUCAUGAAGUAUUACCAGAUGAGGCUGUGUAGGAUUUCAUCAU